rnacentral:lncRNA from 1 species
UUUUUUUUUUUUUUGGUUUCUAAGAAGUUGAAUCUUGACAUACAGAAUAUUACGUAGGGUGUUUAUGUCUAUGGACUCAACAGUGUCAUUGACUUGCGAUAACAAGUAACUGCCUGAAUGAAUCAAGCUUAAUAUGAUAAUUUUAAAAGAUAAAACAAAUUGUUAUAAGCAGUUAAAUUAUACUAAUAGUUGUAUAAAUUGUCAGUUUAUAUAACUUAAAAACUCAUGGGAUGGAGCUGCUCAAUUCCACUAGAAAAUUAAGAACGAGUUGUCCUCCACCAUGGUGAAGUACUCCAAAUUAGACCUAACCUUGUGACACUAGAUUCAUUUGAAUAUAAUACUUUUGACAUAUAAAAUUUACUAAACUUACAACAAACAAUAAAUAUGACCCAUAAUUUGAUCGAAUGACAUAGUUCAAUUUGGACAAGACAAGGGAAACAGACCACCUUGUUAGGAAGCUUAGUUAAUUUGGCCAAGGCAUAAAGGUAUCUGCAGUAUGUUUUGGUCCACAAACAGGACACGUGACAUACACACAUUUAUGUGGAGGGGUUAAUUAGGCCAACUAGUCUGGCCAAGAUUUGGGCAAUGAAAUGGACAAGUAUGUGGCUACUCAAAUAUGCCACAUAUAUUAUUUUCCGUAUUCAAAAUUCACUAAAUUCAAAAUGUCUCGAUUGUCUUCGAGACUCGAAUCCAAAACCUUUAAUUAAGAGGGGAUAACUCAAAUAAUGAAUGGAAAAUCCAAUAUGCAGAGGUGAAAUAGGAGCCAAAGUUCCAAUUCGCAGCAAGAAAAUCUAAGAAGGCAUUAAAACAGUUCUUCCUGGGGCAUUACAAAGAUUUUCUUAGAUUUUCGAUACAUUGCCUGUAAAACUGGCGUCGGUUCGAGCCCUACAGGGCCACUAGAGAUAUUACAAACUAUUCAUGUCUCCGGGGCCAUGGAAUUCACCGGUGGAUCCGCCUUGAAACAGUGAGGCCCGAAGGAUACAGCUAGUCGGGGAGUGGUUGGUAAAAACUGAGGAGCAAAAAACUCUUUGGCACCAGCUGUACCUCAAGACAACGGUUAACAAAAAAAGAAAAAAAAAGGGUCCAUUAGAGUAAUAAAUAGGCAAUGUAUAAAUUUUUUUAACCUCCUUAAAAUGUAAAACAAUCCUGAAAUAAAAUAGUUUACCUAAAACAAAAAUAUCUGCAACAACAAGUAAAGAUGAUCUAAUAGUGCGAAAAACAUCUUAAACUAACGAUGCAUAUACUUAAAUUUAUUUAUUUUCUAUAACGAGAUAAAAAAUGUCAAUUUGAAAUUACCUCGAAGUGUUUUCACCCCAUGUUGUAAAUUCUCAUAAUUGACCACAACUACACAUGUUUCAUAUAUUCUUGAACAAAUGAAUGAGUCUCAAACCCUCUUUCAGAUAAAUUAAAAAUAUACACUUAUAGGACGCUGUUAAAAAAAUUCAGGCAAAUUACAAAGAGAAUAUUAAAUCACUUUUGAUCAAGAAUAUAAAACCAAACGCUUCGAACAGAGAGUACAGAGAUACUUCCUCUUGAACCUAAAGCAAAUAGGGAGAAAGCAAAAUCUGAAACGGCCUUCUACAUCAACAAGGACAUGCCCCUGCUGCUACUUUUCUUCCUACCUCUUUCUCAUCUUCUUCACAUACACAUGACAACAAACACAUCUUCUCUUCUUUUAGUAUUUAUUUUUCAGCUUCUUCUCACUGCAAUUUCUUUCUCCUUAAAAUUUAAAUAAAAUGUGGGAAAUAGUUCUUUUUUCUUGAGGGGUUUUUGCUGGAGCGAGGUGAGAGAGAAAGACAAAGGGUUUUCUGCGUAUACGAUGAUUUGGUGAGAUUUUUG